rnacentral:tRNA from 1 species
AGCCAUAUAAUUUAAACGGCAAAAUUAUGGACGUAAUCCGUAGAUGUAGGUUCGAAUCCUGCUAUGGCUU